rnacentral:sRNA from 12 species
CCCUGACAGUUACACUCCGUAACUGACAUUAGCCAAGACAGGAGAUCCACAUG